rnacentral:rRNA from 1 species
UAGGGAAUCUUCGGCAAUGGACGGAAGUCUGACCGAGCAACGCCGCGUGAGUGAAGAAGGUUUUCGGAUCGUAAAGCUCUGUUGUAAGAGAAGAACGAGUGUGAGAGUGGAAAGUUCACACUGUGACGGUAUCUUACCAGAAAGGGACGGCUAACUACGUGCCAGCAGCCGCGGUAAUACGUAGGUCUCGAGCGUUGUCCGGAUUUAUUGGGCGUAAAGCGAGCGCAGGCGGUUAGAUAAGUCUGAAGUUAAAGGCUGUGGCUUAACCAUAGUACGCUUUGGAAACUGUUUAACUUGAGUGCAGAAGGGGAGAGUGGAAUUCCAUGUGUAGCGGUGAAAUGCGUAGAUAUAUGGAGGAACACCGGUGGCGAAAGCGGCUCUCUGGUCUGUAACUGACGCUGAGGCUCGAAAGCGUGGGGAGCAAACAGAAUUAGAUACCCUGGUAGUCCACGCCGUAAACGAUGAGUGCUAGGUGUUGGGUCCUUUCCGGGACUCAGUGCCGUAGCUAACGCAUUAAGCACUCCGCCUGGGGAGUACGACCGCAAGGUUG